UGCAUUAAUGGCUCAGUCCAACCCUGUGCACUUGCAGCUUCACCCCACAGCACGACAUACGCGCACCGCCACCACAGUGCGCUAGACAAAGAGGGCACUAGCUGGGCAGGGCCUGGCCGAUCAGCUUAGACGUCGCACGACAGGGCCGGCUUCCAUUUAAACUCGUCCCUGGCGGGAGUUGUUGAGUGGGGCCAUUUGAAAAAGUGCGCAGACAAAAACUUUGAAUAGGCAUAAAUAAGCGAAAAGCGUUCGCGAAAAACACCGCUGGAAAACCGCAGGGCCCCGAAGUAGAAGCAAAUGCGGGAAGUUCUCGGCAGUUGGUGAUUGGCGCGUUCGCCAUGCCGGCCAGAACAGGCGGGUUUAUACCAGCAGGGCGCCGGCGCCUGCAGAAGGCGCCGCCAAGCAACGGGGCGCGCUUUGCGGCAUUCAGUGCUCCGCGCGCCGCUCGAAUUGGCGCAAAUGAGAGACGCGCCACGCUCCCCAAGCCCGCGUCCCUUGUGAAAGACGCCCGAUCUCGACCGCCCCUUCGGUUUAAUGGCCGAUCACCAUGGCGACCAGGAUGUGGAGGCCAUCACGGCGCAACGGCGGCUCGACUGCUACCAGAACGUCAGCCAGGCGACGCCCCCUUCGGCGGUUUUCUGUCCCGUUCUGUUCGAUGGUUGGUCCUGCUGGCCGGCCACGGAGGCGGGG